ensembl:piRNA 21ur-15506 ncRNA
UAAAUUUGUUUUUGUCCAGCU